AUUUUAUUAUUUUGUUUUACAUUGUGUCUCCAUAAAAAUGCCUCCUAAAGAUCCUGAAUUAAUUGCUCUUAGAAAAGAACUAGAAGAUUUAAUUUCCAAAUGUCAGGGAUUUUCUCGAUUUACAGGGAACGAGGAAAAUUUUUUCAAUUUUUGAGUGCAUAGUCUUCAACUAAAUACGAUUUAUAAUAUUUCAACGUAUGGUUAAAAGAAAUCGGUUCGGUGAGAGAUGAGAAAAAGUGACAGAAAAACAGACAAAAAUAACACAUCAUAGUACCAUUAAUAAGCAAGAUCAAAAAAACAAACAAGACAAAACAAUCGAGGAAAUGUGUAAUGACAUAGCUGAUCCACCUAAAUGUAAACUAGUUACCAAAAAAAUGCUCAAGGGACAUAUUAAUAAAGUGAACUCUGUACAUUAUAGUGGUGACAGCAGACAUGCAGUUUCUGGGUCAUUGGACGGCAAACUGAUUAUAUGGGACACGUGGACUGGAAACAAAGUGCAAGUUAUACCAUUACGUUCCGCGUGGGUCAUGUCCGUUGCUUUUGCACCAACUGGAAAUUUUGUUGCAUGUGGGGGAAUGGAUAACAUGUGUACCAUAUACGAUCUGAACAAUCGAGACACCAAUGGAAGUGCAAAAAUGGUACGCGAACUUUUGGGCUAUGAAGGAUUUCUUUCGUCGUGCCGAUUUGUCGAUGACAAAACGUUGAUAACUGGUUCAGGAGAUAUGAAAAUUUGCACUUGGGACGUGGAAGUUGGUAAAAGAACUAAUGAAGUAGGUGCUGCUCAUUGUGGAGAUGUAGUCUCAUUGUCACUAGCACCUGAUCUAAAUACUUUUAUAACAGGAAGUGUAGACAAAACAUGUAAGCUGUGGGAUCUUAGAAACCCAAAAUGCAAGCAAAUGUUUUUUGGGCACGAGGCUGAUGUCAAUUCUGUCUGUUACCAUAAUAGCGGAUAUGGAUUUGCAACAGCUUCCGAAGAUAAAUCGGCUCGUUUGUAUGAUAUAAGAUCGGAUCAACAAAUUGCUAUGUAUAAACCACCAAAUACUACAUCAGGAUUCACUUCCUGUGGUUUAUCGGUUUCCGGUAGAUUCUUAUUUGCUGGAAGUGAUGACAAUUCCAUUCAUAUCUGGGAUACGAUGAAAGUUCAACACAAUGGUUCAUUGGCAGGCCAUGAAAAUAGAGUGACUUCUUUAACUGUUUCACCCAACGGUAUGUCAGUGGUAUCUAGCUCUUGGGAUACAAAUCUUAGAGUUUGGGUUUAAAAUAACAUAAGAAGCAAAUUGAUAAUCAAUAUUUUUAUUUGUUAAAAAUAGAAAAUCUAUUCGUGAUUUCCCAUCAUUACACGUCAACCACCUAUUGAGAGAGAUUAUUUUACACAUAAAUUGUAGUUAAGUGAAAUAAUUUUAAAUCAAAAUUGUAUAAUGAAAAUACAAUUACAUGAAAUUACUAAUAAUAUGUAGUAUGCUUCAACGAAAACCAUUGCCGCUUUAUUGUUUCAUCAUAACUACAGUCACGCUUUCCAUCCUUUAAGUGGUUAUGAAAAAAACGUCUGAUUUGUUUUAAUGCUGUCAAGUUAUAAUUAACUAUUUUAGUACUUAAACAUUUCUCGAAUCUCAUUAUUUAUUGUCGUUUUAGUAUUUUAUUAUUAUUAUAGUAAAAGACAUUGUUGUAUUUUUAUUAUUAAUUUGCAUAAAAUAUGAUCACCCAAUUAAGGUUUUUCAUAUUAUUUAACAAUUUGUUAUCAGGAUAAGACUGAAUAAGAUG